AGUGAACGCUGGCGGUAGGCCUAACACAUGCCAGUCGAACGGCAGCACAGUAAGAGCUUGCUCUUACGGGUGGCGAGUGGCGGACGGGUGAGGAAUACAUCGGAAUCUACUUUUUCGUGGGGGAUAACGUAGGGAAACUUACGCUAAUACCGCAUACGACCUACGGGUGAAAGCAGGGGAUCUUCGGACCUUGCGCGAUUGAAUGAGCCGAUGUCGGAUUAGCUAGUUGGCGGGGUAAAGGCCCACCAAGGCGACGAUCCGUAGCUGGACUGAGAGGAGGAUAGGCCACACUGGAACUUGGACAGGGUCCAGACUCCUACGGGAGGCAGCAGUGGGGAAUAGGGGGCAAUGGGCGCAAGCCUGAUACAGCCAUACCGCGUGGGUGAAGAAGGCCUUCGGGUUGUAAAGCCCUUUUGUUGGGAAAGAAAAGCAGCAGGUUAAUACGCCGCUGUUCUGACGGUACCCAAAGAAUAAGCACCGGCUAACUUCGUG
rnacentral:rRNA from 1 species